rnacentral:rRNA from 1 species
UACGUAGGGCGCAAGCGUUAUCCGGAAUUAUUUGGCGUAAAGAGCUCGUAGGCGGUUUGUCGCGUCUGUCGUGAAAGUCCGGGGCUCAACUCCGGAUCUGCGGUGGGUACGGGCAGACUAGAGUGAUGUAGGGGAGACUGGAAUUCCUGGUGUAGCGGUGAAAUGCGCAGAUAUCAGGAGGAACACCGAUGGCGAAGGCAGGUCUCUGGGCAUUAACUGACGCUGAGGAGCGAAAGCAUGGGGAGCGAACAGG